ACACCUGCGGCUUCCCAGGCACGGCGCGGGAGGACGGCGCGGCGGCCGCGAGCGCUAAGAGCAGCGCGGCUCCCACCAACAGCAGCGACUGCGACGGCGUCCUCCUGUGCAAGAGCUGCCAGCAGGCGUUCUACACCCAGAAGGGCCUGGCCAGCCACAUGUGCUUCCGUGGCGAGCAGUGGCUGCUGCCCCACAGGAGAGAGGAGCCGCAGGGCUGUGCCGCAGAGGCCGGAUCCACCGCGAGGCCGGGGCUGCAGGAGGAGCCCUGCGAGGCCGGAGCUGCGCUGCUCAUCCCUGUCUCGGUGCCGGUGCUGCCUGGAGGC